GCCAGGAUUUGUCAAGGAACAGGAAAGCACAGCAGUUGCACAGUGUCACAGACUCGUGUCCUUGCUGAUAGUUGACCCAAACUUGGUUGAGAAACUGCUUUAUAACAUUACAAGAAACUUCUUCAUAGGCCUACCCAUAUAGCUCUCCAGCCCUUUAAAAGUUCAGCCACUGCUGUCUAGGGAUGUUAGGCAAUUCCAGAGGAUCUGUUUGUGUUACUGUUUUCUUUCUAAGGGUCACUGUCCAAAGGAAUAAACCCGAGUGGAGCUUGAGAGUUCAAAAGGUUGCUUAGCUAGGCUGUCAUGCUGCCAUUUGACUUGAAAUGAUCAAAAGUAGAUAACAAAGCAUCUGGAUUCUGCAAGCUGAAAUGUUGCUCUGCUCCUGUGCAGAGGUCUACGGUUCUCAUCUUUGAUGUCACUUGGACUUAAUGAACUUGCUGGGAAGACUGUGAGUGAAUCAUUGUGUACUACCAUGCACCUAAGGACUCCCACCACGUCAUGCGUAACUUAAAAAGUCUUUUAGAAAGGGUUUAGCAGAAAUGAGCACCUCUAGGAAGUGAAGAAAAAAAGUAAUUCAGCAUUUUGUCAGAUCCUGAACCAUCCUCACAUUUGAUUCUACACCAUGAUAAACCAGAGAACAUGUCCUCAGUUAUACCGGAGGCUUUUCAUCCUUUAGAGGUUUCUCGAUUUCUCAGAUUGUAUUUCUUCUAGUACCUGGUUCCUGUGGUUUAAAUCUUGAGAACUGAGUAAAGAAUCUACAAACAAGUGGGACAGAAAUCUGCUGUUGAACAAGAUGGAUCAGUCAGCCAGCUGAUGGAGAAUGGGAGUAUUAGGACUUAGAGAAAAAGCAAAGAUACCAUGGAAUUCAUGAUGACUGAAUGCACCUGGCUUUACCACAGCACUUAAAAUUCCUCUUUCUUCAGUCUGUGUCCCACACCCUUGCAUUCACUACUUCCAUUCUUCCCCCCCCCAGCCAUUCUGGUUAAAUUACUAUUUGGAAGGACAAAUUCCUCUUCAGCCUGUAGUAGUGUGGCUAUUAAGCCAGACAAAUUUAACUGUUGUGUAAACACACACCUUCUGUGUCAAAUACUAAGGCCACUGAAGAUUGUUGUGCUGUAUGACAAGGCGUCCAGUUUCCUGAUGAGAGCUGGGGGUCACAACACUGAGAAGAACAGACAUUCUUUUGCAACAGGCUCUUCUGCAGAAUUCCCCAUUGCACAACGUGCAAUUAGUGCAGACUGAAUCGCAUAGAUGAAAUCUUCAUUCCAUAUUAGUAAGAAGUCCUGAAAAUUCUGAAAUUUCUGUCCAUGCUGUACACUCCUCAGAGAUCAAGAGAAGGCUCAACAAUCUGCAGAGGUAAGACUAAAAAGCCCUGAAAAAGAUUUCUUCCUUUUCACUGUUUAAAUAGUUCUUCAUAGCUUUCAGUUUCCUGAAUGCCUCUGUAACUCAGAUAGAGGCAUUAAAUCCACAAUAGCUCAAGUAGUAUACAUCCUCCUCUCUGCUAGCCUUCAGCACUUCCUCUGCCUUAGGGCUUACCCAUUCUUUGCACCCCCCACAGGAAAAACACCUUAAAGAGGAACUACAGAAACUAGGUACUUCUCUGCAGUGGGAAUUCCCUUAGAUAUUUCAGUCAGCUGGGUGUGACGUGGCUGGAAAAGAGAGAUGGAACAUGCAGACUGAAAAAAGGGGGAGAUGGAGCAGAGUGCUAAGGAUUGCUUACCCCUCUGUCCAGCAUUUCCUAUCACCCACAACACAUCCUGGCAGAGAAUGCCUUCUCUUUACAAAAGCCUUAAGAAAAGCCUAUUUAAGCAGGGAUGAUUUCAGCUACAACCAAUAAAGGAAAUUAUUUUCUUCCCUUGGCUUCUAAC
rnacentral:lncRNA from 1 species